UAUUAAAAAUACAUUACUAUUCCUACUUUUCUGUAUAAUGUUCUUUUCCGUAUAAUUCUUGCCUCUACUAUUUAGAAUACUUCAGCAACCACGUUCCUAAAUCACCUAUUAGAGAACUAUUGGAACUGGAACCACAGACUGCCAAAUUUGAAAGAGCUGAGAUGACCGUAAGUGGAAAAGUGAGAGUAAGAGUCGAUGUUUUUGGAAAAGGACAAUUUGUUGGUGUUGGCCGUAACAAACGGAUUGCCAAAUGUACAGCUGCCAAACAUGCCCUACGAGAACUGAAAAAAAAAUAAUAAAAUAUGAUGCAUUCAGAUUUAUGAGUUUUGGUUGUAUCUUGAAUUUUUGUAAUAUGCUGAAUAAAAAUAAGUACAAAAACAUU